GAGAUGUUUUUAGUCCUUCUCAUUUUCACCUUCUCAGAGCGCUGACUGAACACAGAGAAGAGGGAAAGUAGAGGAAAAGAUUCUGAAUAAUGGGGGCCUCGGUGUCUAUAAGGAACCAAACCCCUUACACUUGGCACUACGAACUUGUCGGAGACGGAGGUGGCAGUGGCACGUUGCAUGGCAUGGGUAGUGUACAAAGAAAACUCAACUCUAGGAGGAUCCAUUGCUACCUAAAGUUAAGAUAUGACAAUCACAGUAGCAACUCCUUCUCAUAUGAGUUCAACAGUCACAAGCAGGACGGAAGUCAAACAUUCACUAUUAUAGAAACCAGUGGCCGUUCACUCAUUCAGCUGUUGUGCAACACAGAGUCUAAUAGUCCAACAUGUCCAAACUAUGGGAAGCAAGAGGAAGACCGUAUCCGUCAGCAGCAGGAGGAGAUGGAGCGGCGAAGACAGGAGGAGCAACGAAGGCGACAGCAGGAGGAGAUGGAGCGGCGAAGACAGGAGGAGCAACGAAGACGACAGCAGGAGGAGAUGGAGCGGCGAAGACAGGAGGAGCAACGAAGACAACAGCAGGAGGAGAGGAGGCGCCAGGAGCAACUGGAGAGGGAGAGGACGAUCCAGCAAGAAAUCGAAAGGGAGAGCGAACUUUCGGGUAAGAAGGUGUCAAAGGGACGAGAAAAGCUGAGACAGAAGCUGAGACUAAAAGGACAACAGCGCCAUCACCAGCGUACACAGGUACUACACCAGAUGAUAGAAGAUGACGCUGCAGCAAUCAGAAGGGAUGAGCCAGGGGACUUGAAAAAUAAGUUUGAAGAUCUUCUGAAGAAAUACGAGAUCACUGAAGACAAAGGUAUGCAAGAGGACAAGCUUGAAAACCGAAUGAAAAAUCUUCAGAAUGAACUAACCUUUAAAUACUUUGGAGAGCCUCAACUGUCGAUCUGGUGUCAGUUGACCAUAGAUCGUGCUAUCAGCCAAGGAGAGCAAUCGCUCAAUGAGCAGUUUAGCAUCCUCACAGCUGUGACAGAGCUAACGUUGACCAAUGACUCGGACACAGACAGUAAAGAGGACCAACUACCUGACUGGGACCAGAAGUAUGACUUUCUCAUCCGUCUUCUUGAACAGCUGUACAGCACAAAUCCAACAGUGGCUCAACAACUUGUUCUGAGCAUUCUUGACGUGUUCACAGAGGUGUCAGAGAAAAACAAGGGGCUCCUUAGUCAAAUUCUCUUCAACAUGAUCUGGACACCUUCAGAAAUUCUGCUCUUUUUGCGAGGUGUUUGAGGCAUAAACCAAGAGUUAGCAACCUCAAUCCUUCAUACUGUGCAGACAAACAAGCUGGAUCUUCUCUCUACUCUCUCUGCCCUGAAAGAUAAAGACCCUGUCAACUCUCUACAAUUGUAUGCUGAGGCAGAAGGGGACAAGGAUGCUGACACCAUUGUGAAUGAAAUGCAAAAUGAAAAGUACCCAGAGAAAAUAUUGUCCAUAAUGAAGGAAAUUCUAGGAUAUAUGACAGAGGAACUUCCAAAACAUGCAAAGGAGGACUUGGAUCAGGUAAAGAUAGAGGAAGCAAAGCAGAUGAUCAAGUCACUGGAUUUUACUAACCCUGACCUUGCUGUUCUCAAGGAGGUCCUAAUAAGGAUGUCUAUUGCUGUGCAAGACUGCUCAACCAUUUACACUCAAAACGGUAAGAACAUAGAAGGCUACUUUCCUAGCAUCACUCCGCUGGAAUCACUGCUCACUGCUGAGAAAAUAGAAGGCUACUUUCCCCGACUCACUCAGUUGGCAUCACUGCUCAUGCUCCUUCUACCAAAGUUAACAGGGAAAAAAGGUAUCCUUCUGGAAAUCGGCACAGGUGAAGGAAAAUCUUGCAUCUUGGCUAUGUUUGCCACCAUCCAGGCCAUCCGUGGCACUAAGGUUGACGUUGUGACCAGUUCUCCAGUCCUUGCUCGCCGAGACUAAGAGGAGUGGAAGAAACUGUAUGACAUGUUUGGUGUCACAUCCUCUGUUGUGCCACCACCACAGAUACAGGGAAGCUCCCCUGAAAGCAGGGAUAGUAUGCUACAGGAGGCUUACAGGAAACAAUUAGUUUACGGAACCGUUGGCAGCUUUGCAGCAGACGCUUUGAGGCAGGAAUUCGAGAAGGACACCACACGUGGGGAGAGGAGGUUCGACAUGGUGAUUGUGGAUGAAGUGGACUACAUGACCUUGGACAAUGGAGUUCAGGUGACGUUUCUAUCCCACGAGGCAAGUGGCCUGAGGCACCUCGGACAAGUCCUUGCUAGCAUAUGGGCCAUGGUAUCUAUGUGUCAGCCAAUUGAGGUGGAAGAUACUGGAGAGAUUGAGUGGGCAACUGGAAUCCAGCAUUUUCACAAGGCUGCAAAGUUAGCUGUUAUCGGUCCAGCGACAUCUAAAGAAUUCUCUGAAUUUCACAUUUUGGAAGCCGGAGUGGAGUUGGGUAUCUAUUCAGAUGAAGAUUUUGAUAUGUUCAUGCAUGCUCUAGAGAACACAGAGAAUGACGAUACAACAGAGAACAGGAGAACUGUUGAUACAUUCUUGGCCAAAGUUGGAAUUACUCAACAGUGUGAUCUGCUCACCAUAAUGGAGAAAGCACUGGAGAAUGAUGUGGCCAUUGACUGUUACUCUGUGACAAACAAUAAAGCCGUGCUGGUUGAGGAGAAAAAGUUUCACAACAACCCUGAUAUCCUGGAAAUCAAAAUGCAUCUCCUCGAAAGAAUGGACGAGCCAGCGAGAUCAUACCUGAAGACAAAGUCAUUAAGGCAACAGUCUCUGAGCUGAAGUCUAAAAUCAAAUAUUCUGGCAGCUCUCAGUCAAACUCAGAGUUUCUUGUGAUCCCCUCUUUCCUUGAGAAGUACCUGAGAAUCAGUUACCAGUCUUUGUGGAAAACGCCCUGAAAGCCAUCAUGAUGACACAAGGCAGAGAGUACAUGAUUGAUCAGACGUUGGAAGCUGUCAGAGACAAGCAUCUCUACCAUGCUAUCAUCCCAGUGGACUUCCAGGCCAGUGGAGUGUUGGAGAAGAACAAACGCUGGGGGCCUGCCGCUGACUGCCUGCAGCAGUUUCUGGAGAUGAAACACCAGCUGGCAACCACUCCUUUGUCCAAUGUGACUAAUUACCUUUCAAACUUCCAUUACUUUCAAAAGUACCUGAAAGGGAAUGGGAUAUUUGGUGUGUCUGGGACAUUAGGGGGUGAUGCCGACAAAGAUUUCCUUGCAAGGCAUUACGAAACAGACAGCUACAUAAUACCAGCUCAUCGCCAUAAGAAGGUUGUUGAGCUUCCAGCAAUUCAGGUCAGUGGGCAAGCCCAGUGGAUGGAGAUCCUCUGUAAGACAGCAAUGAGGGUGGCAGAAAGUGGUCAGGUUGUCUUGGUCGUAUGUGAAGAUGUCAAGACCGCAAACGAGCUUCUGAAGAAAAUAGAGGGCGAGAAUCCACAUCCCCCCAUCACAUUAUACACAAUCAGUGAGAAACACAACAUUGAGAGAACCAAAUUCAGAGGGGGACAUGUAAUCAUAGCCACAAAUCUAGGAGGUCGUGGAACUGAUAUCAAGGUUGAUCAGGAUGUCAACAUACGUGGUGGCCUCUUCGUCCUCCUGACACAUUACCCUGGGAGUCGCAGAGUGGAGAAACAGGUGUUUGGAAGAACUGGUCGGAAGGGAAACCCGGGCAUGGCCCAGAUGAUCCUCUGUGGGGAUAACCUUGCCCCAGCAUACCAGGGCCAGCCUGUGGAGAUCAUGAGACAAUUGAGAGAGGAGUACGAAGUCCAACGCAUCAAAGAUAUGGAGACAGAUGAGCUUCUCGAAAUAAAAAUUAAAGAGGACCUGUUUGGCACGUUUUGUGAAUUUCUUGACAAGUUUCAUGGCAACUUCACAAAACAGGAGAGAGAUGACCUGUCAGGAUUGGGGCCAAAUGAUGUCCCUGAGUGUUUUAAAGAAAAAGGCCCUAAGUUUGAUUACCAGCCUGCACUCAAUGCUUUGAAAGAAACACGGUCAUUGUGGCUUACCCUUCACGAGGAGCACAUCCGUCAGCACGAAGAUAUCAGUGUUCUUAAAGCAGACCUUCUUGAGCAUAUCACAAAUAGGGGCAACAUGCUGCUGAAUGGAAAAAGUCAAAACUUCUAUGACCACAUUAAGCAGGCUACCGGCAGAACAGACUUGCACCUUCGCAACAAAAGUAAGUGUGACUAUGAAGCAAAGUCCUACUGGAAAGAUGUUGAAGACUGUGACCCUUUUUACAGUGCCGUGGCAAUGUACAACCAAGCUUUCAUCACCAUCAACAUGGGAAAAGAUGGCUACAAAACAGAGGCAUGGAAAUUACUGGAAAGGGCAAAGACAUCUAUGGAUGUUUACUUGUCAGAAACCACAAAUACCAUGGUUUCUUUUCAGAUUGCCACAAGAGGCAACUUUGAACCACAUCAUGAAGGAGAAUGCAACUUUCUAAAGCAAAUAGAUUCCAGGAUGAGCAUUCACAAAGCUUGGAUACUUAACAUUGACCUAGCAGUAAAUAAACUUAAAGAGCUUGAGGGUGAAGGCACAGCCAUAACAGAGGUAUCCUCAGUGUACAGCCUCUCAGAAAAUCAAGACUACAUCACAGGAAAUGAACUCACGGCCUUGUAUGACAAUGGCCUGAGCAUUGUGUUUGAGGUGAAAAAGAAGCCAGAGUUCAGCUUUGACGCUUUGAUCUGUUUCUUCAUCGGUAUGUGUCAGGUCAUCAUUGGAAUUCUGGUUUGUGCCCUGUCAUUUGGCUCUGCAACCCAGAUUGGCUUAAAUCUCAUCUCUGAAGGAGUCUCUGACAUGAUUGAAGGGAUAUCUGGCAUGAUAUCGGGCACAUUCGAUUGGGCACAAUGGGCCAUCUCCAAAAGCAUCAGCAUUGGAAUGUCUCUGCUCUCCGAAGGGUUCAGCGCCAUUAAAAAAGUUGCCAUCACAGCAUAUAAAGUCCUCAAUGGUACUAUGAAACUCUCAUCUGUUGCAAAGGAUAUCAUUGGCACAGGAAAAUAUGUUUUCAAGUCCGCACAGGGAGCAGCAAAGUCUAUCUCCAAAGAAACAAUUAAGACUGCAAUGAAGAAACUGGCAUCCCCUACAAACAUGAAGAUGGCUCUAAAACACGCAACCAAGAAUGCAUUUCAGGAGAUAGGGAAGCAGGGUGUAAUCACAGGAAUUAACUAUGCCAUUGAUGCUGGAAUUGGGGCCAUCUUUAAAACAAUUUUAGAAAAAGCUUUCAAAGACAUGGUCAAUUCAACAGUCAAAAAGAAUGCCGAACUAGAUCUUAGUCUCACUGAAUACAUUAGCUCUGCAGUACCUAAAGGAGCUUUGCAGAACCGCAGCAACUAUAAGAUUGACUCAAAGCUUGAACAACAAACAAAAGAUUUAGUUCAAGUUAUGACAAAAUAACUUAUUCCUGGCCUCAUGACUGAUGCCACCACAUCCCAAGUCAGUGAUGUUAUCAGCAGACUCUCUGAGGUGUGCAAUAAUGCAACUGACCUUGUGGCAAAAAGUAUUGCAAAAGGAGUCAAAAUUGAAAAAGGAGUCAAAAUAAGUGGAGAAAUAGUUAAACACACCACAACCUUGGUCCAAAUGAUUCGGUCUAUUCCUACAGAACAUGUUAUCAAUGACAUAUUUGUCCUCGAAUUAAAAAAAGAAAUUGAAGAGCAGCAAAGAUAUGUGGAGCAGUAUGACCAAGAUGGCAGACAUGAUUUACCAGAUGUGAUUCGCCUAAAGGAUGAGUUCCUAAGCUCCAUUUCGGAAAGUGUCUCCGAAGCGUUCAUAGAUGCUUGUGCUGGUCAUAUGUCCUCUUUUGUGACGGGAACAUUCAAGAAGAAGCUCAAUGGAGUUACUGGAAAAGUUGUUGACAAUGUACUUGGCAGACACAAAACUGAAGCCUUUUUCCAGGACCGGCAGCAUAAACAUGAUAUGAAGUCAGCCAGUCAGAAGACUGGGAAAGCUCUGUCAGAGACUGAAACAAAAGAACUUCUGGACUAUGCAGAGAAGAUUGGUGAUGUUAAUCGACCAGCCUCGGCCCUGGACAUUUAUGUCCUCACAAACAGUGACCUCCUCCAUGGUAAAGGCAUCCAGUUCAAAGUGGUGGAUCAAGAUGGGAAAACGCUCUCAGAGGAGUCCUACCCGGGAACGAACAGCUCAGCCGGCCAAAUCACUCUACGGCUGACCAAAGAGCCUGAUAAAACACACAGGUAUUUGUCCUAAACUGUUUGGUAGACCUUCAUCAACAAUACUGCAAAUCUCCCAAAAUUAGGAUCUCUCCAUUAGAACUACAUUAAUGAGAACCAAUGGUGCUCUUUAUUUCUGCUCUUUCAAUGAGGACAGAAUCCUCUCUAAAGCAAAAGACAGAAUCCAAGGAGUGGAAAGUCCAUACAGUGGUCACUUUGACAUCAUCCAAGAUGGCAAAGUAAUCCCUGUGCGCUCAGAGAACAAGAACUGCCUGUACCAUGCCCUAGCACAGGCAACAUCUAACAGGUCAGAGGAUGAGAUCACAAGUCAAGCUGUGAAUCUACGAAACAAUGUUAAAGACCAGAUUAAAGGGAGCCUUCAGGCUUAUAGUGAAAUGGUUAAAACCCAGAAGGCCUAUGAUGCACUUGAGAAGAAUCAUGGAAAAUAUGCUAUAGUUGGAGGGGCCAUGAAUAGAAAACGGACGAAUGAUGGGGAAUAUGAACAGGAUAUCAGGCCCAUGAAGAAUUGUCCUUAUAGUUCCUCAGGGAUAAAUGAGUAUGACAUAGCCUUUACGUACCACCUUGGAUUAGUUGGUAUUUUACAAAAGCGUCAAAAACACCAAACUUUUCUCUGACAACAUGGGGGAAAGAGGCAUUGUGGAGGCAGACCAUAUCCCACCAAAGAAUUCCCUGAAGCUGGCCAGAGACCAAAAAUCUCAGAUGAAAAAUCUUCAACAGAAGAAUCGGAAGCUUUAUGAUAUGAUAAACAGCAUUGAAUCAGAUCAAAAUGGAGGGAACCUGCUCACAAUGCGGGUUCUCAAACAGCAUCACAGGAAUGCUCUAACCACUGGAAGGAGUAAGACAUCUGUCAUCUGCAGGAAGCUGCUGGCGGAUACACUUGCAAGCGGAGAUGUGGAGAAAUCACUGAAGUUAUCUUUCAUCAUGGCUCAUCCUAUUGCUUCCGACCAGCUCAGAGACAAAGCAGGAAAGCCCAAUAAACUUACCCUGGGAUCCAUUGAUUUAUCUCCUGAAGGAACGGUGUUCUACUAUAAAGCUGGUUUCAAUCAGAUGCUGAAUCACCAUAGUAAAGAGGGGAUCAUCGACCAGAAUCAGCAGGCGAGGCUGAAGUCCUGGGUGUCCGAUAAGAAGUACAUGGACCCGGACACCCCAGAGUACAACAACAUCCUUGCAGCCAUCCAGUAACACAACCUCCACUGGAGACAUGUUAGGAAAGGGAUAAAAUCAUACUUUUAUAUUCAGCAUAUGAAUUACAUGAAUUCAGUAUAAUCAUAAUGUGAAUCAUUUCUUGUUGAACCUUAGUUGAAUGACAAUUUGACCUUUCUACUGCUGCAUAAUUACUAUACUUUUUUGUUUGUGCUUCCACAAGGUAGCCUAUGGCUUUUCAAAAUAGAUACAGUAACUUAUGUGCAAGGUGCAUGAGAUAUAAGCUUGUUAAAACAACUAUAGGUUCUUUACAGUAAACUGUAAAUUGACUUUUGAUUUUGUUUCAUUCAAUACUGUAUACUAUACUGGAUGCCAAAGUAAAUUUCUCAAUGUCAUAAUAUUUACUGAUGUCCUAAUAUUUAAUGUUUGUAGUUUCUUAGUGUUCCAUUUUAGUGUAAUGAUCAUGAUAACCUUUUAAAAUCAAAUCAGAAUGUAUUUGUCGCAUGUGGAGAAUACAGUGAAAUGCUUGCCCACAAGCCCUUAACAACAAUGCAGCUUUAAGAAAAAAUUUUAAAGUAAAGAAAUAUUUCAAAUAAUUAAGGAGCAACAAUAAAAUAACAGUAGCGAGGCUAUGUAUUUUAUGCUCAUCAUCAGUGGUUUCACAGUCAAAUCAUGGUCUAAUUGGCAGUGUUUAUCAUGUAUUUGAUUUCUUUACUAUUGGAUUAUGGAUGAUUUUAUAUUUACUCAAUCCAAGGUAGUGUUUUAAUCCAUUUGAAUAAAUGUUUGCAUUCUCAAAAAUAUUAUCUGUAUUUGAAACUAUUGAUAAUAAACUGAUUUAAUUUGCAAGACUA